rnacentral:rRNA from 1 species
UACAGAGGUGGCAAGCGUUGUUCGGAAUUACUGGGCGUAAAGGGCGCGUAGGCGGCCCGUCAAGUCCCGUGUGAAAGCCCCCGGCUCAACCCGGGAACUGCGUCCGAAACUGGCAGGCUUGAAUCCGGGAGAGGGAUGUGGAAUUCCAGGUGUAGCGGUGAAAUGCGUAGAUAUCUGGAGGAACACCGGUGGCGAAGGCGGCAUCCUGGACCGGUAUUGACGCUGAGGCGCGAAAGCCAGGGGAGCAAACGGG